rnacentral:rRNA from 1 species
UCAUUAUCGAGUUUGAAAGGGGUUUGCAGCUGGCUCUCCGGAGUAUGUGCUCGCCCUGCUCAUCCACUCUACACCUGUGCACUUUCUGUGGGUCGGGAGUAAAAUCCUCGACCUGCGUCUUCACACAAACCAAAUUGUAACAGAAUGUAUACCGCGUCUAACGCAUCUAAUACAACUUUCAACAACGGAUCUCUUGGCUCUCGCAUCGAUGAAGAACGCAGCGAAAUGCGAUAAGUAAUGUGAAUUGCAGAAUUCAGUGAAUCAUCGAAUCUUUGAACGCACCUUGCGCUCCUUGGUAUUCCGAGGAGCAUGCCUGUUUGAGCGUCGUGAAUCUCUCAACCCACAAAGUGUUUGUUCAUUUUGUGUGGCUUGGAAUUGGAGGCAUUGCUGGCGAUGGUCAGCUCCUCUCAAAUAUAUUAGCUGGGCUUAGCUCGGAGGAACGGUCGGUGUGAUAAUUAUCUGCGCCGUUGCCUAUUACUCCGGAUCCCGCUUCUAAUCGUCCGUAAGGACAAUUCACUUUUGAAUCUGACCUCAAAUCAGGUAGGACUACCCGCUGAACUUAAGCAUAUCAAUAAGCGGAGGAAAAGAAACUAACAAGGAUUCCCCUAGUAACUGCGAGUGAAGCGGGAAAAGCUCAAAUUUAAAAUCUGGCGGUCUUUGGCCGUCCGAGUUGUAAUCUAGAGAAGCGUUUUCCGUGCCGGAC